rnacentral:lncRNA from 1 species
AUCUCCCCCUACUUCUCUGAGGCGCUCUGCCCCUCCCUGUUGACCCGUCCCUCUGGCCUGCUUCCCUCUCCACCGAUUUCCUCCUUUCUGUGCCCCUCACUCUUCCUGCUGUUCACCUCCCCACUGUCCAGGGGAGGAUGCUUCGCACUGUCCUUGUCCCCCUCCCUCAUCCCUCCAUCACCCCUCUGUCAUCCCUCCAUCAUCCCGCAAGGAGCCGCCUCUGUGCCGGCCAGGAUUGAUCCUGAUGCUCAAGAUAGCCCCGUGAGGAGGAGAGACCUUAUCCCCUCUGCGGUGUAUCUUCAAGGACACAGCCCCAGAGAGUGGAAUGGCCCGGCCGGUGUGAGGCCCAGCCAGGCCUCUGGCGCCGGGCUGCACAGCGCCACCCUCCCGGCUGCCCCGGCUCCCUGUGGCUUUGGUUCCCACAGGCGCUCACACUGGGAAGGACUGUGGAUCCCCUCCUUUUGCCUUCUUCGCUUUCACCCCCUCCCCAUCCUGUCCUGUCGAGAGGUAUGUUCAACGUCCCCACUGAAAGGGGAGGGAGGGACGCGCUGCUGCCCUCCAGGGCUUUGCCUGUUUCAUCACACUGGUCCUCCAUCAUCGCUCUGCAAAGGGUGUCUGGUCCCAGUUUGAGGGAUGAGGAAACAGGAGCUUCGGGAGGUGAAUGCGUAGCUGCUCAGAGGCAGACGUUAACCCAGGGAAGUCCUCAGACCUUAUUCUUAGAGCUAAACUUUUUUGUUCCCUUUUACGGACCUCUUCCAUUUCCCUCCGCCCUCCGUAGAUGUUUGUGGUUGGACUGGUGUCGGGAAUUAAGUACAGAGGCCUGGCCUCAGCUGGAAAACAAUGUGUGUGAACUCAGAGGCUGGAGGGAAGAGGGGGACGGGGCUGGAGGGAGGCUGGGCCCACUGUUCCUGAUCUCCCUUCCUGUUCUUGUCUAAGCAAUGAGGUCCGGCCAGCGAAGGCUCAGAGAUGACUGCCCCUGCCCUCCCCACCCUGGCACCCCAGA